GGCGCCACAGCAGGUCGCGGCUGGUGAAGCGCUGCAGGCGGCGGGACACCUGGCCCAGGCGGCCCAGGGCCUGCGAAUCCAGAGCUGCUGAUUUAAUCUUCCCGAUGCAUAGACCUGACUGUCAUUACUCUGCUCAGAAACCUUUUGUGUUUCUCAAUUGCCUUUAUCAUACCUGCAAACUCCUUAGCAAGACCAUUGAAUCUGCCUGCUACUCAAGCCUCAUCAGGACUUUAGCCCCUCCUUUUGGAUCCUUUAACUUCUGUGCAGGAUCGUGAACUUAUGUUUAAAGAAGGGACUCAGCACACUUUCCCUCCAUUUCCCACCAAUUAUGCUGCUUUUGGACUUCGUUGGAACUCACCAUCAUGCAACCAAGGGGAUGCCUGGGAUCAGCUGCCCCUCACAGAAGAACUUCCUCACGUCUAAAUUCACCACUUGCCAACUCCUUGCCAACUCCCAUCUUGAUUGACUCCACCUCCCGCAGACACUUGGAAGGAGCGGAGAUUAGAGCACCAAAUUCCUCCCAAUGCCUUUCUUUAUAGAAGGAAUAAAUUAUACUCUCAGAAUGAUGAGGUCUUGACUGGGAUGUUGGACAGAAGGAAACUAAAGAAUUGAUCCCUGAGGCUAGCAAGGAGAAGGCACUAAUAGAGAUCAAUUUAUCUCCAUGUCCUACCCUCUGGGGAGCUCACUUAGUCAGAAAUCCAAGGUAUGUCAAACCCCUGAGACCCGUCCUCUUGGAGUCUCAGAGCAGCCUUACCUUGCCACACUCUGACAGAAAUCCCAGUGAAGUCCCUAAGGUGAAAUUUUCCUCAUAAAAUCUACUUAUGGGCCAUCUCACGGCUGCUACCUUCCUUUGGGUCAAUCUGACGCAGUACUCUGCCCUUCCUCCAUGCCAAGUAGUGUCUCCCCUAACUGCACUGCUUCCCAACCCCACUUCUCCGGGGCUAAGUCCUUUCAGGGGUCAGCCUGCCAGCCAAGGACAUGCCCCAGCCUCAUGGGCUGCUCCCUUUCUACUGUAAUUCUGAGUUGCACUGAGGAACUUGUCUUUCAUAUGCUCUCCCACUCUAUUUCAUUUUACCAUUCCUAUUGUAUGCCUUCACUUUGUCUAUAACCUAUUCCCCUAAAUAAA